rnacentral:lncRNA from 10 species
CACACACACCACACACACAAACUACAUACACAUUACACACAUAACACAGUACACACCCACACACACUGCAAACACACCACACACACAAACUACAUACACACGACACACAACACACUACAUGCAACACACAUACUACACACUACACAUAAAAACACACACAAACCACACCACAUCACUACAUGCACACUACACACAUCACACACACUGCACACACACCACACACAAACUACAUACAUGCCACACACACACCAUAGUACACACAACUAACACUACACUACAUACACACUACACACACAAAACACACACAUGAAGCACACCACACCACAGAUCCUGCACCACGAUGAUGUGAAGCGGCUUCUUCUCAACAUGCACUAUCCUACAAGGGGCUAUAAAAUGUAAGAGCAUCAGCCUGACACAGGCGACAGAGUUUUCCCCAGACGGUGUCUAUCCACAAGUCAGUACUCCUGGGCGAGCCCCUAAUGAGGCAUGGGUUUUAUUAUAAUUUGAGGGUAUUAAUCAUCAUUUCCUGGCUUGCCUCUCACAGCAGUUGACUAUCAAUGACUUUUCUUUGUCCAACAAGUUUCUAAAAAUUCAUCUCUUAGCAAGGUGUUUUUGUUUUUUAAAGUAUAUCUACAUUUACUUUUGAGUCUAAGAAUGCUGUUAACAGAAAGACAUCUCUGGAAACACAGUGUGCUGAUGAGUCUCUUGGAAGAAAUACUUCUCUUUGGACUGCUUUCCCCUUUCUACAGUUUU